UACGUGAGGUGCAAGCGUUAAUCGGAAUACUGGGCGUAAAGCGUGCGCAGGCGGUUAUGUAAGACAGGAUAUGAAAUGCCCGGGCUUAACCUGGGAACUGCAUUUGUGACGUGCAUGGGCUGAGAGUGUGUCAGAGGGGGGUAGGAAUUCCGAACGUGUAGCAGUGAAAUGCGUAGAGAUGUGGAGGAACACCGAUGGCGAAGGCAGCCCCCUGGGUCAAGAUUGACGGCUCGAUGCACGAAACGCGUCGGGGAGCAAACAGG
rnacentral:rRNA from 1 species